GAGGGACUGUGGAUCAAUGGUAGAGUAUCUGCUUGGCAUAUAGAAGAUCCCAGGUUCAGUCCCUGCCAUCUUCU
rnacentral:tRNA from 1 species